UACGUAGGGGGCAAGCGUUAUCCGGAUUUACUGGGUGUAAAGGGAGCGUAGACGGAACAGCAAGUCUGAUGUGAAAGGCAUGGGCUCAACCUGUGGACUGCAUUGGAAACUGUUGGUCUUGAGUACCGGAGGGGUAAGCGGAAUUCCUAGUGUAGCGGUGAAAUGCGUAGAUAUUAGGAGGAACACCAGUGGCGAAGGCGGCUUACUGGACGGUAACUGACGUUGAGGCUCGAAAGCGUGGGGAGCAAACAGG
rnacentral:rRNA from 1 species